AUCGGAUUUUGAUGUAAAUCCUUUUCUUCAACCAUUGCGGGACGAUGAACACAUUGUUAUUAAGAACACGAAAAAUCUUAAACGUUGGGAAAGAGAAUAUGGUUAGCUCAAUUUCAGUUUUACUUAAUGGCAUUAUGUUAUAAGGGUUUCACAAAUAAUUUUUAUAAUUAUUAUCAUUUACCUAAUCAAAUUAUAAUACUUGUACGUAGACGAAUACUGGAGAAACUGGGAACUCGAGACCACAAUUAAUUCCGUAAAAGCAAUUGAAAUAGAUGAUUUAAAAAUACUUUGCAAUGAUUCCAAUUACGGUUUAUUCGACCAAUCGAUUGAUCCAAAC